rnacentral:rRNA from 1 species
AUGAACGACGAGGAGGAGUGCAAGCGCAAGGGAACGACUACACCAUCUAAGAAGGAAGCUUGGAAGCGGAGAAGGAAUCGUCAAGAGGAAGGCCAAGUUUCACCAACAUCGACGGGAAGAUCUCGAGGAAGUUGGAAGCCAACAACACGAAAGAAGAAGACGCGCCCAGGCGACCCCGUGCGCGCGGCCCCUCCUGACUCCGUGCGCAUGACCCCUCUAGAGAGCUAUUGGACUCCGUUGGACAUACUCCGUGUGCACGGGCCUAGGACCCUUUCACCAACAUCGACGGGAAGAUCUCGAGGAAGUUGGAAGCCAACAACACGAAAGAAGAAGACGCGCCUAGGCGACCCCGUGCGCGCGGCCCCUCCUGACUCCGUGCGCACUGUUAGACCUUUCAGCCUGAGCAUUUCAUAG